rnacentral:rRNA from 1 species
AACGAACGCUGGCGGCAUGCCUAACACAUGCAAGUCGAACGAGACCUUCGGGUCUAGUGGCGCACGGGUGCGUAACGCGUGGGAACCUGCCCUUAGGUUCGGAAUAACUCCCCGAAAGGGGUGCUAAUACCGGAUAAUUUCUUCGGACCAAAGAUUUAUCGCCUUUGGAUGGGCCCGCGUUGGAUUCGCUAGUUGGUAGGGUAAAAGCCUACCAAGGCGACGAUCCAUAGCUGGUCUGAGAGGAUGAUCAGCCACACUGGGACUGAGACACGGCCCAGACUCCUACGGGAGGCAGCAGUGGGGAAUAUUGGACAAUGGGCGAAAGCCUGAUCAAGCAAUGCCGCGUGAGUGAUGAAGGCCUUAGGGUUGUAAAGCUCUUUUACCCGGGAUGAUAAUGACAGUACCGGGAGAAUAAGCGCCGGCUAACUCCGUG